GAAGAUGCAGAUUCUGACAACAAC
rnacentral:snRNA from 1 species